UGACCCUCUCGUGACUCAUUUCUACACAGCACAAGAUAGCAAAAAUUUCUGGGUUUCCCCAGCAGGCAGCUGUUUCCUGUCGUGACCACCUCAAACCACAGCCGCUCAGAAAUACACACUGUGCUUCUGCGUGCGAUGCUUCUACUCCUUCAGGGAAGGCUCUUAACCCUAGCAGAUGGUUGACCUGCGCUGCCUCACGUGUGGGUAUGUCCUCAUGACAUUGGACUGUCACAUCAGACUGGAGAUUCGGCUGUGAUGAGAAGAGCCUUAAAGCAAGCAGCUGCAUCUCAGACGAGACCUUCACAACCACUGUGCAGAAGUCUUUGACCUCAGUAGAGCAGCAUGCAGUACUCUUCCGUAAUGAGGUGUAUGUUCUGCGGUGUGUAAUAGAGACAUUUUCUCUGCUGAGAAGACUGCUACACAAAUCAGGAAAAAGGAAAUUCAAAAGGACUCACUUCCUUUGCUCCUUUGUUACCCCAACCCUACAUUCCUCUAGGUAACCAUGCUGAGCCCAAAAAAGAAGACAUCUAUGAGUGAAAAAUAGAAUCGGAGAAAAAGCAGUAUGUCAUCUCUGUGCCUGUUAAAUUAAAUAUAAGCAAAUGAUGAACAAAAAUUGUGAUUCAUUAUGCAUGCUAUGACAAAAAGAAUAAUUUAUAAAUUCCAAUUAAUCUGUUAUUUCUUCUGUAAUAAUAAAAUGAAUCAUCGGCUUUUAAUUUUCCACUAUAAUUGAUCUAAACCUUUAAUAGGAGGCUUGUGUACCUCUGGAGGUGUCCAGUAGCCUUUCCUAGAACUGUGUGAAUUUCACAGUUUUGCCACUGAUAUAUAAGCUAAAAAAUUGCACCAGACUAGUUGCUUUCACAUGCAAUACACCUCUUGAUUCAUUACAGUUAUUGGUAUAUUACUCCCUGAAGUGUCAUCUUACAUGUUACUGUAUGUCCAAUUAUGCUUCAGCUACUGUAUUUAACAGUAUAUGCCUCACAGACACAAGUAACUUAUAGUAUUUUCAUAACUGAAAAUAAAUAAAUUAAUUAAUAAUGACUACCCCAACACUGGGAUUUUUUUCUUCUGUGGGGGUGUUUGAAAAUUUGACAAUAUCUUAAAGCUUGUUAAAAAGCAAAUUAGAAGCAAAUCAAUUUUGGAACAGAAUCUAUUACCCUUUCUGUAUGAUCUGUUGCUUGUUUUACAGUGUUGCAGCUCUAAUGGUGUGUUUAAUUCCUAUAGAUGUCAUUGGCACUUUUAAAGACGAGUUAAUACAAUGUAGUUAAUAUAAUGCAGUCACUGGUAUGUAAGAAUUUGUAAUAAGUUUAUGUCAACCAGAGUCUGGAAUUCUCUGUGUACUGAAGAAUUGUAUGUAACUUUGCCACCAGUUUGGAUGGCAGAUUAUGCAGGAUUUUACAUGUCUAUAUUUUUGUUUCUUAUGUAGAGAGGAGGGGGAAAAGUUGAAAAGGGACAAAUGAUGGUGUGUAAUGUCUUCCAAGAAAAAUAACCCAACAUUUUGUCCAGUUUCAUGAAUUUCUACAUCUUCUGUGAUACUCAGCUUAGUGAUUGCAUGAAUACAACUUAAAGGAGAAAGUCAUACUGGAUGAAGAGUACCACUGGGACCUGAAAUUCAUAGGCUUUUAUCUGAUUUUAGCCUUGCAUCUUUAACUGUGCCUAUUAAGAGAGGACCCUGUCACCUACUCUAAUGAGAGAGUGGGACAAUGUAGCCUUUUAUCUUUCCGCUCAGUAAACGUAUGAAAGCAGUCCGGAUGCUUAUGAAUGCUAUCCUUGAAAUAUUCUAUCCUUUAAGUAUUCACAGCUUUUGAGAGAAGUUUGACCUUUUAUUGUGGGAUAGUUUGCAGAAUGAUGUACUCAAGUGUGAGACAAGGUUUCAAUAUAAUGUAUUAACAUUUUUCGCUUCUAAAAUAUUCUCUAUUUGUAUUAGAAAGCUCUAAUACAGCUCUAAUAUAGACCCGUGUGGGAAGCUCACUCCUGCUCUGGCAGAACUAUUGAUAUCUUUGAUGGUAGGGAAGGAAUAAGAUCUCAAGGCAUGGUGUGUUUUCUUGCUCUGUGUUUGCACUGUACCUUGCAUACUAGGGUCUUGGCUGAAGACCAAAGUUUCUUUGGUGUGCCCCUGGUACAAGAAGUGCAGAUAUUCCCAUUAUCUUCCAACUCACAGACUUUUUCAAGUUUCUGCCCUCAUGGGAAAGUAUCCAACAUGAGAUGGAAUUUAUCUUGCCUCAUUUUAGCUAUCUAAAUGUUAGGAAUCGUGUAUAAGCUGAUGGUUCAGGAUAACUUGUAGUCAGAGGAGAAAGACAAGCACCUUUGGACAGCAGUUCCCAUAGGAGUCUGAAAGAACUGUAGUGCUCAGGCAAUUCCUGGCAAUUUCUCUUUCUAUUGAAAUAAAUGACCAGGAGACUAAAUGCCUAAGUUUAAAAUGACUACAGUAAAAUAUGCUGUAUGCCCCUAAAAUUCCAUUUUUAAACUUUCUAAGCUAAUAAAAGAGCUGCAUUUCUGUAUCUUUAUCUUCCAUAUCUAUUAGCUUUAGAAAUAAAUUAAGUUUCUUAAAGUAGAUUUUCCCCCUUUUAUUGACUUUUUCAUUUGAUUAUGUAAUUCCAAUUCUAUUUUCUAUCCCUGGAAUAGCUGAAUACAAGUUAUUUCUUUUAGAAACUUUCUCUAUGUGACCAGGUUCAUAAUGUUUAAAAUGGCCUCUUCCAAACAGUAAAGCAUUUUACUAUUAACUGAAACUGAAAUUUAAUGCUAAGUAUUAGAUUCAGGUAGUGAAAUGAAAUACAUUAGAUCUUCUUGAAUCUAUACUAGGGUUGGCAAUUCUCGUAGUUUUGUGGUUUGACUCGUAUCUAGCAGAUUUCUUAGAUUUUGUCCACUUCUGGUAACUGAAAGUGUUUCUUGGCUUUCAUUAAAACAACAACAAUAGCAAAAACAAUUCUUCUCAUUUCCCAACCCAUAUUUUAAUGAAAAGCUUGAAAAAAAUCACCUAAAUAUGUCAACUGCAUAAAACCCAGGAGAUAAAUAAAAAUACAAAAUGCAUUAAAAUAAUUGUUGUUGCAAGGCUGUUAUGUAGUAUAAUGCUUUAAUUUUGAAUAUUAUGCCUGAGAAUACCAUUAAACUUAAUCCCUCUCUAGAACCAAUGGUAAUUUAUUGAUCAGUGCUGUCCUUAGUGGCAAUGAAAGAAGAGCGCUAAGAGUCUAAAUAACAGAAAUGGUCUCCAAGGGCCUUCCAAAAACCUAGAGAUACCAUUGCAAGACCUCUCCUCAGAAAUCUCUUAAUUCCAGGAGGCAUGAUGAUCUCUUUUCUUCAAAAUUAAUCCCUUUGUUUUGAUGAUGCUAACGGAUGUGGUAAGUGUAUGAAUCCAAAUAAUAAGGCUCUGUAGAGGAAAGAAAUAUUUUCACAUUGGAGAAUAAAAUAUUGUC